ACGGCGACGGUACGGCCCGGACCCGCAUGCCGGGCUGACAGUCCGGCAGCGACCCGUUCGACGCGCGUCUGCAGUUC
rnacentral:tRNA from 1 species